CAAAACGUGAGGCGCUGCUAU
rnacentral:miRNA from 7 species